rnacentral:lncRNA from 1 species
UUGGUAAAGGUUACAUGAGUUUUUUUUCUCUUCUAUUGAAGAUCUUCGAAGGGUCCAACGGUUAGUUCAUGAAAUAUUAAUCCUGAAUAUCUGAAACUAUUCACUUGGACUCACAAUUUUAACUCCAAUCAACAACAUAAAACACCUUCUCAGGUUUGGGUUCGUAUUAAUGGUUUAGCACAAGAAUAUUGAUGCCCCAAGAUCAUAUUG